rnacentral:rRNA from 1 species
AAUAUUGCGCAAUGGAGGGAACUCUGACGCAGCGACGCCGCGUGAGCGAUGAAGGUCUUCGGAUCGUAAAGCUCUGUCCUUGGGGAAGAAGGUCUUCGGACUUGACGGUACCUAAUCAGAAAGCCACGGCUAACUACGUGCCAGCAGCCGCGGUAAUACGUAGGUGGCAAGCGUUAUCCGGAAUUAUUGGGCGUAAAGCGCGCGUAGGCGGUUUCUUAAGUCUGAUGUGAAAGCCCACGGCUCAACCGUGGAGGGUCAUUGGAAACUGGGAAACUUGAGUACAGAAGAGGAAAGUGGAAUUCCAUGUGUAGCGGUGAAAUGCGCAGAGAUAUGGAGGAACACCAGUGGCGAAGGCGACUUUCUGGUCUGUAACUGACGCUGAUGUGCGAAAGCGUGGGGAUCAAAC